rnacentral:rRNA from 1 species
GACGAACGCUGGCGGCGUGCCUAACACAUGCAAGUCGCACGGGACCGGGGGCAACUCCGGUUCAGUGGCAGACGGGUGCGUAACACGUGAGGAACCUGUCCAACGGCGGGGGAUAGCCGGCCUAACGGCCGGGUAAUACCGCGUACGAUCGUCCGGGGGCAUCCCUGGGCGAUGAAAGCAGCCGCAAGGUUGCGCCGAUGGAGGGCCUCGCGGCCUAUCAGCUAGUUGGCGGGUAACGCCACCAAGGCGACGACGGUAGCUGGUCUGAGAGGAUGGCCAGCCAC